ACUCAAAGGAAUAGACGGGGGCCCGCACAAGCGGUGGAGCAUGUGGUUCAAUUCGACGCAACGCGAAGAACCUUACCUGGGCUCGAACGGCUUUCUAACGACUGUGGAAACAUGGUUAUCCCGCAAGGGAGUAGAGUCGAGGUGCUGCAUGGCUGUCGUCAGCUCGUGUCGUGAGAUGUUGGGUUAAGUCCCGCAACGAGCGCAACCCUUGUCCUGUGUUGCAACCCGAAAGGGGCACUCUCAGGAGACCGCCAGCGAUAAGUUGGAGGAAGGUGGGGAUGACGUCAAGUCAUCAUGGCCUUUAUGUCCAGGGCUACACACGUGCUACAAUGGACGGUACAAACCGCGGCAAACCCGUGAGGGGGAGCAAAUCGGAAAAAACCGUUCUCAGUUCGGAUCGCAGGCUGCAACUCGCCUGCGUGAAGCUGGAAUCGCUAGUAAUGCCGUAUCAGAAUGACGGCGUGAAUACGUUCCCGGGCCUUGCACACACCGCCCGU
rnacentral:rRNA from 1 species